CACGUAGGGGGCAAGCGUUGUCCGGAUUUAUUGGGCGUAAAGAGCUCGUAGGCGGCUCAGUAAGUCGGGUGUGAAACCUCCAGGCUCAACCUGGAGACGCCACCCGAUACUGCUGUGGCUUGAGUCCGGUAGGAGAGCGUGGAAUUCCUGGUGUAGCGGUGAAAUGCGCAGAUAUCAGGAGGAACACCAGCGGCGAAGGCGGCGCUCUGGGCCGGAACUGACGCUGAGGAGCGAAAGCGUGGGUAGCAAACAGG
rnacentral:rRNA from 1 species